CAUGCAGUCGAGGGGCAGCAUGGUCUUAGCUUGCUAAGGCCGAUGGCGACCGGCGCACGGGUGAGUAACACGUAUCCAACCUGCCGUCUACUCUUGGACAGCCUUCUGAAAGGAAGAUUAAUACAAGAUGGCAUCAUGAGUCCGCAUGUUCACAUGAUUAAAGGUAUUCCGGUAGACGAUGGGGAUGCGUUCCAUUAGAUAGUAGGCGGGGUAACGGCCCACCUAGUCUUCGAUGGAUAGGGGUUCUGAGAGGAAGGUCCCCCACAUUGGAACUGAGACACGGUCCAAACUCCUACGGGAGGCAGCAGUGAGGAAUAUUGGUCAAUGGGCGAGAGCCUGAACCAGCCAAGUAGCGUGAAGGAUGACUGCCCUAUGGGUUGUAAACUUCUUUUAUAAAGGAAUAAAGUCGGGUAUGGAUACCCGUUUGCAUGUACUUUAUGAAUAAGGAUCGGCUAACUCCGUGCCAGCAGCCGCGGUAAUACGGAGGAUCCGAGCGUUAUCCGGAUUUAUUGGGUUUAAAGGGAGCGUAGAUGGAUGUUUAAGUCAGUUGUGAAAGUUUGCGGCUCAACCGUAAAAUUGCAGUUGAUACUGGAUAUCUUGAGUGCAGUUGAGGCAGGCGGAAUUCGUGGUGUAGCGGUGAAAUGCUUAGAUAUCACGAAGAACUCCGAUUGCGAAGGCAGCCUGCUAAGCUGCAACUGACAUUGAGGCUCGAAAGUGUGGGUAUCAAACAGGAUUAGAUACCCUGGUAGUCCACACGGUAAACGAUGAAUACUCGCUGUUUGCGAUAUACGGCAAGCGGCCAAGCGAAAGCGUUAAGUAUUCCACCUGGGGAGUACGCCGGCAACGGUGAAACUCAAAGGAAUUGACGGGGGCUCGCACAAGCGGAGGAACAUGUGGUUUAAUUCGAUGAUACGCGAGGAACCUUACCCGGGCUUAAA
rnacentral:rRNA from 1 species